CAUGUACUCCCUCCGUUCGAAAAUACUUGUCCUAAAAAUAAAUAUAAUGAAUGUAUAUAUAAUUAAAAUAAGUCUAGAUACAUUCAUCUCUAGGACAAAUAUUUCCGGACGAAGGAAGUAAAUG
rfam:Hordeum vulgare subsp. vulgare, WGS project CAJW01000000 data, contig: morex_contig_138436